ensembl:lncRNA
CCGCGCGCCCGGCACCGAGCUUCCCGGGCCGCCGGCGGAUCCCGGCCGCACGUAAGUGGGGGCGGGGGCCGGGGGCAGGCACUUUCCCGCAGCUGCCGCCAACUCCGGGCCCCCGGGCCCUGCCGCUGGCCGGGUGCUAACCUAGCCGCCCCCGCCGAGCCAGCUCUGGGCGCCGCCCGCCCGCUAAGUUUGAGCCCCAGCCCCUGGCGGCCCGGGGAGAGCUCACGGUGAAAGGCCGAGGCAGGGCGGCUGCGAGCCGAGCGAACAGGCUGCCAUCCCCCCGCCAGCUCGGGCCUCCCCCAGACCCCAAGCUCAUUGCUGAAACUUACAGAGAGUAAGAGAGAGAUUUGCAACGCCUAGAACACAUGCUCAAAGCAUAAUAAAACAGGGAAUGUCUUUUGCUUUGAAAAUCAUAAAUUAUAAUUUAAUGCCAAUAAUAAUUUACAACAAUGGCUGUUUACAAUAAACUAACAAAACAAACAAGGAAAAGGGUCUGGUUUUACUUAUUAGGAAACUUCACACACUCACAUGGAUAGCACUUGCAAGAGGAGAAAAUAAACAACCGAGAAAACCUCCAUCUAAAGGUCAAAGAUACUGUGCCAUAAGAACAUACUUAUAUUUAUAUAUGUAUAUAUCUACAGAAAGAAGCUGAGAGUCAGAUGGAGAAGUCUGCUCAAAUGCACAAAUCAGAUUUUUCUGGUCUGCAUGUAUUGGCUAGAACUGAGUAUCAAAGUUUAAUACACUUUACAAAAUGACCCCUUUUCUUUCACCUCACCACGCCCCCUCCCCAUUUUAAAAUUAAACCACAACAUGGUUAAGUAUAUUUGUGGGAGGGCAGCCUGAAAAGUCUAAAUAAGAACAAACUGCAAGCUCCCAGGACCAGGAAAAAAAGAAGGGGGGGUGGGGGUGGGAUUUAAACAAAUAGUUACUACUUCCAAAUCAGCACACCCUGUAAAGUUUUCUUCUUUCUUUCUCUUUUUUUUUCUUUUUUUCUUAAUUUGACUUCUGAG